ACACAUCGAUCUGAGGUAAUGAUCUGCCACAAGACCAAACGGUCAGGAAGAAAGGAACAUUAAAGAUGAAUUAAGAUAAAACAAGAUUAGAAGUAUUGGACUAACAAUUGAGCUGUGAUUAAGAUUUUGUUAAUCUUAAGCCUACAAUGAAAACUAUAAAUAGAGGUCAGAGGUAUAAGGUGGUUGGUUACAUUGAAUGUAUAUUUACUCCCAGUAUUUUACUUUCUCUUUCUAUCUCUACCUUUUACCAUAAGCUGACUUGAGCAUCAGAGUACUUUUAAUAGGUACCGAUCGGACGCAGCUGAAGGAACAUCUAAGAUGAACAGGAGCUAUCGGAGUGUGGGACCAGACGUUCGAGGGAGAAAUUGUGUAGGAGGAGUUCGACGACAGCAUCACCGGAACAUGUACCAAAACUCUGAUGUGCUAGAGAUAUGUUAUUAUAGUAGUUAAAGUUAACAAUUGGCCAAAGCUCAAAACUAUAUGAAGCAACGGGGUGAUAGGAUGAUGCACGAAUUUUAAUUAUAUGAAAGAGAUUCUGCACUUGACAAACUUCAACCUCGUAGACAACAUUCAAUAGUGUUGAGAAAGAAUUAAAAGCUUAGUCUGAAAUAUUUUGAUCUCUUUUAUGUUGGUCAAAUUGCAGUUACUAGACACAACACACAUUCGUCACAUGUUCCCGGUUUCGUUGUUAAAUAAGUUUUAUGGUCAUUUUCUUCAACAUUACUCGUGAUUACCUCUUACAACUACAACAUUUGGUCUUCCAUCAAAUCUCCAAUUCCUUUUCAAGCUUUACAACUCAGCUGGAGUUCCCUUAUAAUAUGUUAUUGACACUAGUCUCACUCCAAGCAGAUAAAAGGAAAACUCUACCUCUAUCUUGGAAGGCAACUCAUGAUACUUCCUCUAGAAACAUGUAUGUAAAACUUUACACUACGGAUUGU
rnacentral:lncRNA from 1 species